rnacentral:misc_RNA from 1 species
AUAUAUCAACCUCUUCAGCUUUUUGCAUGUUGAGUGUUGGAUGUGGGGGGGUAUUUUUGCUGGACUCUAGAAUGUGAGGUCAGCUCCCCUAAAAUGUAUCAGCGAAACAAUUUGUUUACCGCUCAUUGGUGUGAUAACUAUCUACGCUAUUGACGGUGAAAGCACGUUUAGCUCCUAACAGUCCAUUAGCUUGGACAACCUCUUAUUA